ACGUUAUUCGGAAUCACUGGGCUUAAAGCGCGUGUAGGUGGGGCGGCACGUCGGUCGCUGAAAUCCCCCGGCUUAACCGGGGAAGGGGCGCCGAUACGACCGCCCUGGAGGGACGUAGGGGGAGCUGGAACUUCCGGUGGAGCGGUGAAAUGCGUUGAGAUCGGAAGGAACGCCCGUGGCGAAAGCGAGCUCCUGGACGUUUUCUGACACUGAGACGCGAAAGCCA
rnacentral:rRNA from 1 species